ACGUCUUGCUGUGCCCCGUGGGUGUGUUGUGAUGGCCUCGUCUCAGCAUCUUGUAGGUCCUGCUUUGGAAUGAGAAUCACUGCGCCAUGUAAGCAGGUUGAGACAUACUCGGGACCAGUUGAUUCCUUUAAUGUACAUGAGUUGAUUACAGAUCAAGGGAUGAGCGGGAACUGACUUGUCUUUUCCCGAACCCCGUGCAAAGAGAUACACAUAACAGGGAAAACAUAUCGUACCUCAAAUGGAACAUUCCUACAUGAACUUAUAUAAAUACACGUGAGGCUUAAAUCGAUAGUUAACCAGGUAACCAGGUGAUUAGGGUUUCCGUUCAUGCUAGCUAAUUAUUUAUCUUCACAUCGUUUCCAUUGCGGAUUCCACGCUCCAAGAACGAUCUUACCCAUUUACUUCCUUUUUGAUUACCUUGCUUAGGUAAUGGAAACUAAUUAGACGAACCGAAGAUGUAAAAAUGGUGAUCUACCUAUAUCAGGAUUCGGUAGCUGAUUGGGAACUGCAGUAAAGUAAAAAUCCUCCCUUAUUUUUGGUGCUGGAACCGUAGAAGCAAACAGCCGAGAAUAUUAAAAAAAAAAUCGUUAACGUCCUUCUAAAUUCCAGCUAUCAUACGUAUCCUUGUAAAGCGCAAAAAACAAUUUUGCCUUUACCUAACAUUCUGGAGAGAGAGAGAGAGAGAGAGAGAGUGUGUGUGUGUCCCCUCUUCCCCUCACAGCGUGGGUAACAGGGUGACAAACCGUCGAAAAUAUUCAAAGGAUACUCGAUACUCGAGUUGGAAUAUCGUUCAUAGCGUGCGAAUGUUUAGGUUGUUCUUAUUGUAUUUAAUACUUGUUUUUUCCUAGGAUUUGGAAAUAAGCGAUUUUUGGGGAAAUUUGGCGAAACAAAACGCGUUGACGAAGUCCAAACAACAGGCUACCCUGACUCCAACGCUUUUCGGCGAAGUCACGGGACAAAGGCGAAAUUCCCAAGUAUCCAACGCGUUACCUUACAAUUUUUAGCGUUUACAAUUUACUCCUUGAUAACUUAGCUAUACUGAUCCAACGUGUGGCGUAGUGGUAAAUGAGGCUUGCAUGCCAUUAGGUUCAUUAGGCUUCAUGAAUUAAAUCGCGGUAGUCGGACGGACUCGUAAACAAAGUUAAUCUUUUACGAGAUUUGGGUUGUUAGACUUAGAUGGACAUAUGCAAAUGGCUUAGGAUAGGAAUUAAUCCUCGUACGCAGUCUUAGUUCAACUUCAGGGAGAAAAAUUUGUAGGUCUGUUUUAUAAAGUUAGGUUUGGGAGACGCAGCUUCAAUUUAUUUAUAGAAGGAAUCAAUCAUUGGGUUGUUAAUCCUAACGAAGCAAACCCUUAGCUUAUUGGCAAUAGUAGUCUUUGUCAUAUAUAUCAUUAUAUCCUAAAUCAAAGUAGUUCGUAUACGACUACCGUUAUUUGCCCGGUUUAUUGGAAACCCAAAGUCAGUUUCCGACACAGGUUGUGUUCAGUGGCACAACGUGGCAUACUAAAAAAAAGAAAAGAAAAAAAGUAUUUGUCAGUGCAUGUAACAAUCGGCUCUCCAGUGAGAAAAGACUUGGAUUCCUGAAGACAGCUCCUUGACUUUUUGCUAGCCGGCAUUGAUGCCUCCACAAGAUGUUAGCACUAUUUAUGCCCACCAAGGUGAGGGAUGAGGAAACAAGAGUAGACCUAAAAACCAAAGGGACAGCAAGUCGAUGACAGUUGGGCAUUUCUUCCCUCACUCGAAGGACCUGGGGUAGCUGAUCAGAAGGUGGUAGGCUUUCCUCCUUCCCUCUUCAAAUGUUCCAGCAAUCAGUUGUACAUUGACCAGUCCUCUUCUCAAAAGACAAACUAAGUUUGUCUUCACCAAGUGAAUGACUGAACCUUAAGCUGGGACUUCUCACGGACUUUCCAAGCUCCAAUAUAACAGCUUUUACUGGGCCAUAAGUCAUCAGUCUUACACCCAUUUAAUUUAAUGUUAUCCCAUUGCUAAUACUAUUAUACAUAACUGAUGUACAUCAGGUGAUACAAAACCGUUGAAUUAUCUAUGUAUAAAUAUAAUUCAUCUUUGGAAA